rnacentral:rRNA from 1 species
CUGGCUCAGGACGAACGCUGGCGGCGUGCCUAAUACAUGCAAGUCGAGCGCGGGAAGCGAACGGAACUCUUCGGAGGGAAGUUCGUGGAACGAGCGGCGGACGGGUGAGUAACACGUAGGCAACCUGCCUGUAAGACUGGGAUAACUCGCGGAAACGCGAGCUAAUACCGGAUAACACUUUCUAUCACCUGAUGGAAAGUUGAAAGGCGGCUUUUGCUGUCACUUACAGAUGGGCCUGCGGCGCAUUAGCUAGUUGGUGAGGUAACGGCUCACCAAGGCGACGAUGCGUAGCCGACCUGAGAGGGUGAUCGGCCACACUGGGACUGAGACACGGCCCAGACUCCUACAGGAGGCAGCAACCGUGAAUCUUCCGCAGUGCACGAGAGUCUGACGGAGCAGCGCCGCGUGAGUGAUGAAGGUUUUCACAUCAUAAGACUCUGUUGCUCAGGAAGAACAACUAUGAUGUUAACUCAACGUACCUUGACCGUACCUAACCCGAAAGCCACGGCUAGGUACGUGCCAGCAGCCGCUGGAAUAAGUAGGUGUCAAGCGUUGUCCGGAAUUAUUGGGCGUAAAGCGCUCGCAGGCGGUUCUUUAAGUCUGAUGUGAAAUCUUACGGCUCAACCGUAAACGUGCAUUGGAAACUGGGGAACUUGAGUGCAGAAGAGGAGAGUGGAAUUCCACGUGUAGCGGUGAAAUGCGUAGAGAUGUGGAGGAACACCAGUGGCGAAGGGGGACUCUCUGGUUCUGUAACCGACGCCUGAGGAGCGAAAAGCGUGGGGAGAGAACAGGACUAAGAUACCCUGGUAGUCCCACGCCGUAAACGAUGAGUGCUAGGUGUUAGGGGGUUUCCGCCCCCUUAGUGCUGAAGUUAACGCAUUAAGCACUCUGCGUGGGGAGUACGGCCGCAAGGGUGAAACUCAAAAGAGUUGACGGGGACCCGCACAAGCGGUGGAGCAUGUGGUUUAAUUUGAAGCAACGCGAAGAACCUUACCAGGUCUUGACAUCUUUUGAGCCCUCUAGAGAUAGAGUUUUCCCUUCGGGGACAAAGUGACAGGUGGUGCAUGGUUGUCGUCAGCUCGUGUCGUGAGAUGUUGGGUUAAGUCCCGCAACGAGCGCAACCCUUAAUAUUAGUUGCCAGCAUUCAGUUGGGCACUCUAAGGUGACUGCCGGUGACAAACCGGAGGAAGGUGGGGAGGACGUCAAAUCAUCAUGCCCCUUAUGACCUGGGGUACACACGUGCUACAAUGGACGGAACAAAGGGAAGAGAACCCGCGAGGUCCAGCAAAUCCCAUAAAACCGUUCUCAGUUCGGAUUGCAGGGUGCAACUCGCGUGCAUGAAGCGGGAAUCGCUAGUAAUCGCGGAUCAGCAUGCCGCGGUGAAUACGUUCCCGGGUCUUGUACACACCGCCCGUCACACCACGAGAGUU